rnacentral:rRNA from 1 species
CUGGAAUUGCUAGUAAUGGCAGGUCAGCAUACUGCCGUGAAUACGUUCCCGGGCCUUGUACACACCGCCCGUCACACCAUGAGAGUUGGGGAUGCCCGAAGCCUGUGAGCUAACAUUAUGAGGCAGCAGUCGAAGGUAGAAUCAAUGAUUGGGGUGAAGUCGUAACAAGGUAUC